AAACCGUCUGACAGAACGAUUUUCAGCAAAAACAUCCGGAAAAUGGCCCGCCAGCCGAUGUUUUCAACUAGACGAGUAUGAAAGGGAAUACAGUGUUAGAUAUCAUCGAGGAUAUGUGACCAAAGGGUUUCAGAAGUCUUGAGAGAUGUAUGCAGAUCAAACCCAUCAAGUAAGCCAACACCAUGUCUACAAGGUCAUACCUCUAGAACCUCUCACACCUCUAACAGCUGAGGACAAAUCUAAAAGUGGACAGAGGGAUAGUAUGAAAUGCUUCAGUGAAAUUAAGGAGCUCAGGUUCUAACAAGCGUAGUAGAGCAGUGCAACACAGAUGUACUCCGAUGUGCAAUUUUACAAGUUUUUCCCAGACAGUGAUUACAGCGAGGCUUGAAGACUACUGUACACAAUUUCUUAACAAAUCCAAAAACAAAGCCGCGUAACAUUCAACUAAGUGAUUCAAAGAAAACCAAACUACAAACAAGAAAGGGUCGAUUGAAUGGAGUGACAUUUUUACCCUGAAGCGUCCUAUUAAGAUUAAGAGAAUCUAGUCGUUUGUGCCACGGCACAAAAAAUUAUCAGACACAUAAGUAACAUUCAAGUAGUAGUAUGCAUUUACAUGGAAGA